AUGAGGAUGUUGACAGCUUGGUGUGUGGCCAUGUACUUCUUUGGAGCAGGAGCUAAAAUCACCCAAACCUCAAGCCUUGUGCUGAAAGAAGAUGAGAAAGCUACUCUGACAUGCAGUCAGAAUGAUAAUCACAAUUCGAUGUACUGGUAUCUGCAGCAGCCAGGGAAGGAGCUACAAAUGCUCUAUUACUCCAUUGGUGCAAAUCAGCAAGAAGAGGUUAGCACUUACACUGGAUACAAAGCUAACCGGUUAAACCUCGCAGACUUCUAUUUGAAUAUUUUAUCUGUGAAGAUGAACCAUUCAGCUGUCUAUUUCUGUGCCAGCAGUUUGGACACAACACUUCAAAGUCACUCGCUUUCUUUACACAAACUUCUUUCCAACCCCUUUCCUCUGAUGGCAGCCGAUCUCAGCACAAGAAAAGGGUGUGUCAGCCAAUAG